AGAGUUUGAUCAUGGCUCAGAUUGAACGCUGGCGGCAUGCUUUACACAUGCAAGUCGAACGGUAGGGUAGCAAUACCUGAGAGUGGCGAACGGGUGAGUAAUGCAUCGGAACAUGCCUAUUUGUGGGGGAUAGCCCGGCGAAAGCCGGAUUAAUACCGCAUACGAUCUACGGAUGAAAGCUGGGGACCGCAAGGCCUAGCGCAAAUAGAGUGGCCGAUGUCAGAUUAGCUAGUUGGUGGGGUAAAGGCCCACCAAGGCAACGAUCUGUAGCUGGUUUGAGAGAACGACCAGCCACACUGGGACUGAGACACGGCCCAGACUCCUACGGGAGGCAGCAGUGGGGAAUUUUGGACAAUGGGCGCAAGCCUGAUCCAGCAAUGCCGCGUGCAGGAUGAAGGCCUUCGGGUUGUAAACUGCUUUUGUACGGAACGAAACGGCUCUGGUUAAUACCCGGGGCUAAUGACGGUACCGUA
rnacentral:rRNA from 1 species